AGCCCGCUUCUCUCCCUGAGCGGGCAGGCCUCGCUCCCCCCUGUCGAGGCCGAAUCUUGCCCCGGCCCUCCCCAAGGCCGGGGCAUUUUUUU
rnacentral:ncRNA from 1 species